rnacentral:misc_RNA from 1 species
UUUAGCUAUUUAUGUUGCUCAGACUUCACUGUUUCGAGAGGUUUUGGGUGGGCUUCCGGCAGGCACUCGGCGGACGGGACCACCGCGAGGCGUCCACGACCGGCGGGGGCUCCCUCCAUCCCACCUGGGGUGGUCUGGGGUUCGCCCUCGGCCUGCCAAAGCAACGGAGGUACGUAUUCACGGGGUGGGAGUUUCGGGCCACGGGGACCCUUGCUCUUUAAUGAUCCCUCCGCAGGUUCACCUACGGAGA